GCAGUUAAUGCAGUACCACAUGCUUGCUUUCUUGGAGUAUGUGCUUGAAAUAAGAAUGUCCUGGAGAAGACAGACCACCACAAGAAAAGGGAUUGUGAAGGAGGGCUUCCUGUUGAGAGAUCGUGGGGUGCCUUGAGGUUCCAGUCUUGAUGUUCUGCCCCUUACCUCAAAGCGAUGGCCUCUUGUGCCCGACAAUAUAGGAGCAAAGCACAAUGGACUGCUGGCUUAUCGGAAUUGGUUACAAAUAUGCAAGUGGACUUGUCUGUAGUAGUUGCUGAAGAGGAGCAGUCAGCAUAAGGGGCGUGUGACUCCAAAACAACGUGGGAACUUCUCUCAAGUUCAUCUCAAAUCACAAGGCUCUUCAGGAAUCAAGAUGUAACAGUGGAUGUUGAGAAGGAGUUUGUGACCCUCCUGAUUUGGACUACUCGCGAUAUCUGCACAAAACUCAACAAGUCAUGAUUGAGAAAAACGCAACAAAUACUCGGUGAAGCAUUGAUUUAUGUGACUGGUAUUAGGGUAGGUUUCAGCUUGGUAAUUUGAUAUUAACUAUGUCCCAAAAGAAACCUCACUGGUUCUUAUGGUUCCACGCCACACGCUGCUUCCUACCCUGUUUCUGUAUACCCAGACUAUCAAGGGAUCAAAUGAAUUAAAAUCCACACUUGAUUACAAAUGAA